GUAGUACUCCCUUCAUCCCGAAAUACUUGCCAAUGAAAUGGAUGUAUCUAGAUACAUACCGUCCCGAAAUACUUGUCAAUGAAAUGGAUGUAUCUAGAUAUGUAUCUAGAUACAUCCAUUUCAUUGACAAGUAUUUCGGGACGGAGGGAGUACCUC
rfam:Triticum aestivum genome assembly, contig: Triticum_aestivum_CS42_TGACv1_scaffold_473953_6AL